GACGAAGGGGGCUAGCGUUGUUCGGAAUUACUGGGCGUAAAGCGAGUGUAGGCGGUUGCCCAAGUCAGGUGUGAAAGCCUUGAGCUCAACUCAAGAAAUGCACUUGGUACUGGGUGGCUAGAGGACCGGAGGGGAUAGUGGAAUUCCCAGUGUAGUGGUGAAAUACGUAGAGAUUGGGAAGAACACCAGUGGCGAAGGCGGCUAUCUGGACGGUUUCUGACGCUAAGACGCGAAAGCGUGGGGAGCAAACAGG
rnacentral:rRNA from 1 species